AGACUGUUGUGGAGUCCCACAAUAGGACGAAACAGCUGUCUAGUGU
rfam:Schistosoma curassoni strain Dakar, Senegal genome assembly, scaffold: SCTD_contig0003501